UGCAGCGACGCCGCGUGGGGGAUGACGGUCUUCGGAUUGUAAACCCCUUUCAGUAGGGACGAAGCGCAAGUGACGGUACCUGCAGAAGAAGCACCGGCUAACUACGUGCCAGCAGCCGCGGUAAUACGUAGGGUGCGAGCGUUGUCCGGAAUUACUGGGCGUAAAGAGCUCGUAGGCGGUUUGUCACGUCGUCUGUGAAAUCCCUCGGCUUAACCGGGGGCGUGCAGGCGAUACGGGCAGACUUGAGUACUACAGGGGAGACUGGAAUUCCUGGUGUAGCGGUGAAAUGCGCAGAUAUCAGGAGGAACACCGGUGGCGAAGGCGGGUCUCUGGGUAGUAACUGACGCUGAGGAGCGAAAGCAUGGGUAGCGAACAGGAUUAGAUACCCUGGUAGUCCAUGCCGUAAACGGUCGGCGCUAGGUGUGGGGUCCUUCCACGGACUCCGUGCCGUAGCUAACGCAUUAAGCGCCCCGCCUGGGGAGUACGGCCGCAAGGCUAAAACUCAA
rnacentral:rRNA from 1 species